GGGCACUUCCUGUGUCAUGGCGCUAGAGUGUAACCUGUGAGUGCGUUCCAGAGAGGACCCAGCUGAUUAGAUCGCCUUUUUCUGUAACUUCUACUGGCAGCGAGCUACAUUGGAAGGAUCCUGGGAGACCUUCAAGCCACGCAAUGGAAGGACCUGGGACAACCAGCAAGUUGAAGAAUAUAAAAAUUGCUCAAGAAAUCUAAGUAAUAAAGAGGUAGCAAUAUGGUAUCAAGACAAACCUUGGACUCAACAUGAAAAAAUAUUCCUUUGGACCCCAGAUGCUGAUGUGAACAUGCAACAAGGUACUUUAAAGCCAGCUGAAAGCCUUGCUUGUCGAAAGCCUCUGAUUGAGCAUUUAUCACUAAAUGUGCCCAUUUUACCUCACAAUGAACUAAAGCCACAUGAGUAUUUGGGAUUUGAUGAAAAGCUGAGUAAAUGUAAUGAACAUGCAAAAACCUGCAGUGAUCUCCAAUCCUUUCAAAAGCAUGCAAGGACAAAGACUGGAGAAACACCCUAUCAACAUGAGCAAUGUGGAAAAGCCUACUCUGAACAUAGUAAAAAAACUCACCCUGGAGAGAAGACCAUAGUAGCCUUCCCUCCACCCCCACUCCCCUUGUUGAACCGUUUUUAUCAACUACAUGAAAGAAGUCACACUGGGGAGAAACCCUGUAUGUAA
rnacentral:lncRNA from 1 species